CGCAUGUGUGGCUAAAAUGGAUGUUAUGUUUUUCUUUCUUCUAUUUAGACUCAUUUUUCCCUUUCUUCCUGUAUAGAGUCUUUUUCUUCUUAUCUUUUUUCUUUUAUGGGACAGCACGGGGUAGCCUCCAGCACUAUUUCUUUCUUUGUUAUGCUAGCACAAGUUCCAAGUUCCAGCUUCUGUUUGGGUGACUUUCAGUUAUUUUAGGAGCACAGAUAUUUUAAGAGCAUGGCAUCUUCAAAUUCAACCAAUUCCUAGGAUUAGCUACAAUUGUUGAAUGACAAAGUAUUAAGGAGUAAUGUAUUGAAUAGUACUAUUGCUUUAGAUUUCGUUUUAUAAAGGUUGUGAGGAAAAGGGGCAAACACACUUCCAAGGUAUAAAUGUCUAUGUUUCUUACUUCUGUGUUAUAGUUGUUCUAUAUAAAAUUGUUUGUCAAGAAGAAUGAGAUUUGCUUCAUAUGAUGAGCUUAUUUUAUGGAAUUUGUUCUGAGAACGAAGCAGAUGUUAGAACAAAAAGAAAGGUAGGGACAUCGAAGUUGGAACAAAUGAAUCAUAGAAGAUGAUUUUUUUUUUUGUGAAGUUACUUCCUUUAGCAAUUGUGGAAAGGUGUUCUUUGUCUUAUUUGUGUGGAUGAGAAUCAUACAACUAUAGCUCGCUAUUUAACUGCUUAUAAUGUCUUAUAAUGCUAAGGCAAUAAGGCUUACAACAUGUCUUUUUUU